AGGCGGGAUACUACACCCUGCUGGCGGCGGUGCGGCGGCGGCGGGCCCCCUGGCAGGACCUGGCUGCGAGGGGGAGGACUCUUCUUCAUAGGGGGAGGGUGCUGGGGCCGCCGCUCCUCCGGGCCUCCCUGUGCCCCUCUUCCGGGCGCCUCUCUCUCUCUCCUCCUCUCACUUUCUUUAAGCUAAGCGGGGAGUGGAAGAUGGCUCACAAUGACGAAGAGGAGCAGUCCCAGCCUCUGCACUACUUCUGGCUUCAUUUCCACAUCAGCAAAAAGGACUUCCCCAGCCCAUUUUACAGUGCCAUUUGCUGAGAACACUUAAAGAAUGUCUUCUUGGAUUUUGCUCUAUCACGCAGAAGCAUUUUCAUGGCAAGCAGCAAGUGUGAAAGCUCCUAACCUCCACAUCAAAGAUGGAGCCAACAGAGCUGGGUAGCCACACGGUGCUUUCCCUUUCCACUGUUUCCAGCAUCAAACUACCUCAAAAAUAAACUAAAAGUUAGUUUCUUACCUAUUACUGUU
rnacentral:lncRNA from 1 species